rnacentral:rRNA from 1 species
CCUACGGGGGGCUGCAGUGGGGAAUAUUGGACAAUGGGGGGAACCCUGAUCCAGCCAUGCCGCGAGUGUGAAGAAGGCCCUCGGGUUUUAAAGCACUUUCAGUGAGGAAGAACGCCUGGUGGUUAAUACCCAUCAGGAAAGACAUCACUCACAGAAGAAGCACCGGCUAACUCCGUGCCAGCAGCCGCGGUAAUACGGAGGGUGCGAGCGUUAAUCGGAAUUACUGGGCGUAAAGCGCGCGUAGGUGGCUUGAUAAGCCGGUUGUGAAAGCCCCGGGCUCAACCUGGGAACGGCAUCCGGAACUGUCAAGCUAGAGUGCAGGAGAGGAAGGUAGAAUUCCCGGUGUAGCGGUGAAAUGCGUAGAGAUCGGGAGGAAUACCAGUGGCGAAGGCGGCCUUCUGGACUGACACUGACACUGAGGUGCGAAAGCGUGGGUAGCAAACAGGAUUAGAGACCCUUGUAGUC